ensembl:lncRNA
GUCAAAAUCAGAUUGCAAGAUUUUGUUAGAAGUUAGGUGGGAAUUUGCAUUUACCUAGGACAGGUUGCCUUGCUAUGAGUAUAGCACACGCAAUCAACAUUUAGCCCACGCAAUCAACAUUUCUCACUGUACCACGCUUUUCAGGGGUGAGGUUGGUCUCAAAGUCCCUGGAUCAAACCUGUGAAAUGAGGCUGGUUUUCACUACAGCAGGUAAAAGGUGUGCCUCUUCAUCCAGCAUAUGGUUUUCU